rnacentral:rRNA from 1 species
GCAGCCAUGCCGCGUGUGUGAAGAAGGCCUUCGGGUUGUAAAGCACUUUCAGAGGGAGGAAGGUUACGUAGUUAAUACCUGCGUGAUUUGACGUUAGCAGCAGAAGAAGCACCGGCUAACUCCGUGCCAGCAGCCGCGGUAAUACGGAGGGUGCGAGCGUUAAUCGGAAUUUCCUCCGCAUAAAGCGCAUGCAGGCGGUUUGUUAAGCAAGAUGUGAAAGCCCCGGGCUCAACCUGGGAACCGCAUUUUGAACUGGCAGGCUAGAGUCUUGUAGAGGGGGGUAGAAUUUCAGGUGUAGCGGUGAAAUGCGUAGAGAUCUGAAGGAAUACCGGUGGCGAAGGCGGCCCCCUGGACAAAGACUGACGCUCAGAUGCGAAAGCGUGGGGAGCAAACAGCAUUAGAUACCCUGGUAGUCCACGCUGUAAACGAUGUCUACUCCCCCUGUUGUAACCUAGAGGAGUGGCUUUCGGAGCUAACGCGUUAAGUAGACCGCCUGGGGAGUACGGUCGCAAGAUUAAAACUCUAAUGAAUUGACGGGGGCCCGCACAAGCGGUGGAGCAUGUGGUUUUUUCGAUGCAACGCGAAGAACCUUACCUACUCUUGACAUCCAGAGAAGCCGAAAGAG